AAAAAUAAAAGAAGAAAAAGAAAAACAUGGUUGGUCAAAACAAACGUUAAAUAAAAAAGAAGCAACGGUUCAAGUUUGCUGCCGAGCUCUGAACGGUAUGACUACAGCGUGAAAGAGGCCCCCAACAUGCACACGUGAAGGGCCAACACGGCAGUUAGUCAACCAUGCGUUCCCAAAGCAACGGCAUCUCAACUACUAAGAGCCCGCACACAAACACACACAAGUCGUAAUGAUUGUUAUUAGGAUCAUUUUUCUCUUCUGUGUGUUUUUUUUUCCUGCUCUCUCACGCCCCUCCAGCGGCGGCCUGAUUGACGCCUUAACAACUGGUGGUGUAGCCCGGACGAUGAGGAUGUGCCACCAUCUGCAUCACACACAUCUCAGCUGGAUUGUAACCAGCCCGUAUGUGUUUCUCUCUCACAUGCAAUGACCUGCUUUUAGUGCGACCGCAUGGCUGUGAAAAUGAUCCCAUUGAGAAAUAACUUUUUUUUUAAUGAAAAAGGAACCCUCCCCGGAGAGAUGUGCGGUUGUGAUGGACGACGGCUGACGUCGUUCCUAUUAUCCAAUUAAGGUCUCCGCAACAGGCGACGAGUGAUGAACGUGAAACAAUCUAAAGGAAUACUAUCACCAAGAUGAAGACGGAUCGAUUUUCUACAAAGCGAUGACGGAAUGUCGGGUUGGCUGUUUGCGAGAUUCUUAAAGCGCACUGAAAUGCGGAAGUGAUAAAAUGGAUGGCGUGUGUGUUUUGAGUACGUGACCGCCAUUUAGACUUCUCAACACGCAGCCCAGCACCGACCGCUCACGAAAGGUGGAGACCAGCAACAGAUGGUGGAACGCGAAAUAAGAACUUGACCAUCUAGUGAACCGAUGAAAUUGGCCUUGUUUUUAUCUAAUAACAGAUGUCGUCCACUUUUUAAAUAAGUAUUCUUUUUUUUCUGAAGGGGCUUCUAAAGAGAAAUAUUAACCGUUGGGAUAUUAACCACAAGGCCACAGGUACGUUGCAAAUCUAUUAACCAAAACGCGUCAAUCAAACGUCCCACCAAACAGUUGCCAGUCCUGUUUUCUCCAGAUAUUAUUAUGAUUUCCGGAUUCAUCACUCAACGAUGCGUGUCUAUAUCGCAGCUGAAAAUGGAACAUGUAUCAAAACUAUCGCCAGCCAAUUUUUGUUUCUUGUUCGAACCCGUCACCACUUUGUUGCUGACCAACUAACACACAAUGAGCAACGGUCACUAUUAAUAGAAAACCGGAUGGGCCUCAAUUUCCGGGCAAUAAAUUUGCAUUCAACUUAAACCCCAUAAAGAAAAAAAAAGAAUCUUUGAUUUAGAAUUGAUUGAAAUUUCUUACCGGUAGUUGAGGUGUGUGUUGGGACCUAGGGCGACACAAGGAGGAUGGCGAAUGCAACUCUGCUGCAGGUGACUUGAAAAAAUAGCCACCAAAAAAAUUUAAAUAAAUAUUCUCCUCGGGUAGAUUGUGCUAGUGGAGGAGGGAGUAGUAAAAAAACCGAUGUGUAGCUCACGAAUGCUUGUCAACUUCUGCUAUAGACUGGAUGGUCCACUAUGACUUUUAUAUAGGUUGGAAGUACGCUCCGGGGACGCUCUGUUAUACAGCGCACCGCCUCUCUACGCCUGUUGGUCGUAUGCUGGAACAUGUGGAGGAGGAGGGCCAGCAGCAGCAACAGCAGCAGUAGUGCUGGAAUGUUGGAAAUAAAACAAAAAAGAAAAAAAAAACCCACAACAGAAGGUACGUCAAGACACCCGAGGACCGAUGAUCUUUUGUAUACGUGUAAUACGCAAACCUGUGUGUGCUCUAUGUGGUAGUCCUUGCAGCAUGGCGCCCCACAACAGCGGCGGCGGCGGCGGCGGCGGCCCGACGGCGCAAUCGUCGACCAUAUUGGCCAACUGCCGGGUUUCCUUAACUAAUGUAAAAAGAAAGAGAAAUAAGAAGCGGUCGCAAGAGAAGCCCACCUGUUGGACGUGACUGACCGGCGUUUUUUCUUGGACUCUUGUGUUGUGUAACUUUUGAAAUAGGGGCUCUGUGUGUGCACAGCUUCAGAAAUUCUCUCUCUAACGGCAUAGGCACUUACACCUUUAAAGAUAUUUUUCUCUCCACCGUCUUUCAAUUCUUUCAUCCGUUUGAGCUAUUUUUGUUGAAUGACACUAGACUUUUCUUCUUCCUUUCACACACUGCCAAGAUUAAUUACAAUCAUUUUAUUAUUGGUCAUCUCUUCUUCACUGCAUCAAACGCGUCUCUAAAAUGAGAUUACUUUUGUUUCCUCUUUCAAAGAUUUUUGUGUGCAAUCACCAAUAAAACGUUCCAGGAAAAAAAAACAGUUUUGUGAAUAACAUCAUAAAAAUUUGAGUUUACCAAAAUAAUUGAAACGAAAAAGAGGAAAAAAAUUACCCUGCAAUGAAAUUUGUUUUUAUCUGAAAAAGAAAACGUGUUUCAUAAUUAACCUACUGCCAGGCGCGAUUAUAUAGGCCUACCCAAUUUUCUAUUUUCGCUCUGUGUAUAAUUGGAUUACGAGUCCUUUAUUAGAUGAAACGAAUUUUUUUUUGAGCGAUGAUGACGUAACCGUUUCAUUGAGCAAUCAGCAGGUUUUGUACUUUAUACCAGCGGCCAAUUUUUCGCUUUCUGCUGUUUGAUGCGCGGAUAAUCGCGGGUUUAUCAGAUUCAACCGAAAAGAUGACGGGCAAUUUCCUGCCAGGAGCCAUUUAUCUUCCACCAAUUUUACUCGGAGAAGAGACCAUUUCGUUUUAGAAUGAGCUUUUGGUGAAAGCAAAGAACAACUGGACGGUGGACAUACUUGGAGACUUGUCUUUUCUCUUUUUCUCACGUUAGAUUUUACCAAUGUGCGCGGAAACAAUUGCAUACAUAGUCCGCUUUGGUCGACCAACUGUGACGACUCUCUUUAUUUUAGGAAUAUAUAUAUAUAACCUUUUAAAAAAAUUUACGUCGACGUCGUCGAGUUUGUAACGCAAUUUUCCCUUUUCACCUGUUGGAAAGUUUUGCUGGGCCCUCCACAAAAGAAUAAAAAAAAAAAAGAUUUCUAAAGCUCGUCGCAUAUGCGUGAAAGCUCGGAUGAUGAUUUUCCCGUUACAAUGAAACGGGUAAACUAUUAAAACUGAUGAAACAGUAUCUUUUUCUCCACUUAUAAUUUUUUGAACGUCAUUUGGCUUUGGUUGGCAACGUGCAGCUUGUUUUUUUGUUUUUAUGUGACGUCGCCUGCUGCGGUACGAAAAAAUUAUUUCAACCCCGUUAGAUGAUGAAUAUUCUCGGUUUGAAACUGAAACAACCACUUCCGUUCACCCAUAUUGCACGCGGGAAAGGGCUCGAGGCUUUUCGAUUGCCGACAGCAGGAGGAGAAGAAGAAGAUCUCUGAAAAGAAAGCUCUCUUGACUGCUGCAAAGCGGUUACAUCUGUCAUGUUCGUGGGAUGCCUGAACACUACAUCAUCAACUCUUGUUUUAAAUAGCCAUUAAUGAUGACUAGGGUUUUCCACAAUUUUCACCUCUCACGUGGAAGUGUGAUGUGUUUACCUCCUCAAGUUUCUAAUCAUUUUCGAGACACACUGGCACACUUCCUGAGCAUGGCUUUACACACAGUUUCAUUGGGUGAAAUUUUGUUGUGUGUCUGCGUAAUUGUGAUUUAGGGAGUUGAGCCACAGCAUCAGCCAAUCAAGGAAGAAGUGGGAGUCUGGUUCCAUUCGAAACAAAAGUUAUAUUCAAACCAUUGGAAACGAAACAGCAGCAAUUCCUGUCGAUGCAUCGUCUUGACGUGACGUCUGAUGAUGGGAAAAACAAGUGGACCACAUCCAUGUGCAGGUUAUUCAUUAUUUGCCUGAUGUCUGUGCCAUAUGAUGAACAGUUAAAAAAGGAAAAGAAGAGCGACAAGCCGGCGUGAAGAAAUAAGUAACAAGCUUAUACUAAAGGCACCGUAAUAAUAACAACUGAACGAGCUCUUUAUACGAGCCGUUAACCCCAUUGGGCGUUUGUCUCUCUCUCGCGGCUUCUUCCUCCCGCGUGUUUACAUUGCCUUCAUCGUCCAGAGCCUCGUCCGUUUGCCGCUGAAAAUUUACAGCAUUUCGUGAUACAAUUUCCACAGCAGGACCGACGACUGUCAGGUGGAAAUCCGUUUGCCGUUGAAUGGCCGAAUUCUCUUGUAACUUGGAAGAAGAAGAAAAAAUUGUCAUCUUUGAACUUCCAUCAUCGGUCAUGUGGCAGAAGAUGUUCGGGAUUCCAGUCAACCAGUAUAGCGAUUCGCCAUAAGAAUGUUCCGCGACCGUACGAAAAUUCUUUCGCUGCACAGCUAAUUACACCGACACAGCAAGGAGCCGAAUAAUUUCCUAUCGGAGGAGGGCGACCAACCUCAUCAUCAACAUCUGUCGCUGUGGCCUAGCUUUUGUUUCGGGCCAAAGGAGAGACUCUGCUGGAAAGAAAGAAAGAAAGAAAAAGGAAAUAAUAUCGAGUUAGGCGACAAUAUCUAUCUUUGUAUUACCACGAGUAAUAGGGUGGGGGAACAAGAAAUCCAGCGGCAAAGAUACAAAAGAGUCGAAUCAAUGUGUAACAUAAGAGAAGGAAAAAAAGAUAAACAACCCUGGUUAACUCGAUCGCGCUGCGAGCGACUCGAAAUAAUAAAAAAAAGAAUCGUGUACGACCAUUUCCGCUGGGUGGCUAGUUUAAAGGUGUACACUACGUCCGCGACCGAGCAUGCAUCCAUUUAUAGCGAUUAAAAGAAUACGAGAAAA